rnacentral:rRNA from 1 species
UGCAGUCGAGCGAAUGGAUUAGAGAGCUUGCUCUUAUGAAGUUAGCGGCGGACGGGUGAGUAACACGUGGGUAACCUGCCCAUAAGACUGGGAUAACUCCGGGAAACCGGGGCUAAUACCGGAUAAUAUUUUGAACUGCAUGGUUCGAAAUUGAAAGGCGGCUUCGGCUGUCACUUAUGGAUGGACCCGCGUCGCAUUAGCUAGUUGGUGAGGUAACGGCUCACCAAGGCAACGAUGCGUAGCCGACCUGAGAGGGUGAUCGGCCACACUGGGACUGAGACACGGCCCAGACUCAUACGGGAGGCAGCAGUAGGGAAUCUUCCGCAAUGGACGAAAGUCUGACGGAGCAACGCCGCGUGAGUGAUGAAGGCUUUCGGGUCGUAAAACUCUGUUGUUAGGGAAGAACAAGUGCUAGUUGAAUAAGCUGGCACCUUGACGGUACCUAACCAGAAAGCCACGGCUAACUACGUGCCAGCAGCCGCGGUAAUACGUAGGUGGCAAGCGUUAUCCGGAAUUAUUGGGCGUAAAGCGCGCGCAGGUGGUUUCUUAAGUCUGAUGUGAAAGCCCACGGCUCAACCGUGGAGGGUCAUUGGAAACUGGGAGACUUGAGUGCAGAAGAGGAAAGUGGAAUUCCAUGUGUAGCGGUGAAA